rfam:Salinispora tropica CNB-440, complete genome.
CUUGAGCGAGCCGAGCCAGAGGGGCCGGUCGGCGGGGCGUUCCCGGCCGUAGGUGGCGAUGAUCGCCUGCGCCUC